CUAACUUUUUCUCUGGGUAGCUGUGAUGGUUAAUACUGAGUGUCAACUUGAUUGGAUUGAAGGAUGCAAAGUAUUGAUCCUGGGUGUGUCUGUGAGGGUGUUGCCAAAAAAGAUUAACAUUUGAGUCAGUGGGCUGGGAAAGGCAGACUCACCCUUAAUCUGGGUGGGCACCUUUAAUCAGCUACCAGCAUGGCUAGAAUAUAAAGCAGACAGAAAAACAUGAGAAGACUAGACUGGCCUAGCCUCCCAGCCUACAUCUUUCUCCCGUGCUGGAUGCUUCCUGCCCUCGAACAUCAGACUCCAGGUUCUUCAGUUUUGGGACUCGGACUGGCUUUCCUUGCUCCUCAGCUUGCAGAUGGCCUACUGUGGGACAUUGUGAUUAUAGUCUUGCUCUGUUGCCCAGGCUGGAAUACAGUGUUGCGAUCUCAGCUCACUGCAAUCUCCGUCCCCCAAGUUCAAGCGGUUCUCCUGCCUCAGCCUCCUGAGCAGCUGGGAUUAUAGGCACCUGCCACCACGCCCAGAUGAAGAAACUGAGGCACUAAAGGAAGAGAUGACUGCCCAGGGUCCCCCAGCUGGCUAGGCGCCCACUGGGAAUGAAACCCAGCUCUCCUGACCCAAGACAAGCCCUCUUUUCUCUCAUCUCGACACCCGCACUUGGAAAUGGGUUGCUGCAGUAGGAAUUUGAAGUCUAGCAUUUUUUCCCUUUGCAAUCAACUGAUACUGAUUUUCUUAUGAGCACAAAAUGAAUUGUCCAACACCAUUCGCGUAUCAGCUUGUGGCAGCAGUAAUAGUCACUAACAUUUAGAAAGGGGUGGCAUGGAAGUCACCUAGAGUUGACUCCCUACUGUGUGGUCAGUUCAUGAGCAUCUGCCCUGUGCUCAGCACCUUUCACCCUGAUGUGACAAAUUCAGGAUGCAUCUCCAACUUUAAUAUGUACAUGAGUCACCUGGGAAUCUUGUUAAAGUGCGGAUUCUGAUUCGAGAGGUCUAGGUGGGACCUGAGACUCUAAUAAGCUCCCAGGUGAUGCUGGGGUUGCCAGUUCACAGACCACAUUUUGGGUAUUGAAAGUCUAGGUACCUCUGCUAGUUUGCUGAAUGCAACUGAGAAAGAAACCUCAGGGUUAACGCUUGCAUUUUUCUGUCUUCAUUUCUCCAUUGUCCUACUCCCCUCCCUUGGAAGGCUCCAGCUUAGAAAAAGAAAACAUUAUGAAACAGCAGUGCCAAACCUGAAUUACAACGUUAGACAUGUAAUUAUCUGGGCAAAAGCCAGAUGUCUCAGACUAGGGUUUAGUACAGCUUGCUGCCAGGGCUGGGUAAAGUUCCUAGAUUGAAGACACAGUUGAGACUACAUGACAUAUGCAAGAGAAAAGGAGUACCUGUGCCUGAAACUCUGGGAGGUGAGAAGUGGACAAGGGUUACUGCUGCAUAAAUAAUUGCGGAAGCUUCUCCUUCCCCACCAGAUUGCAAACUGAGAUGUUUGCAUGUUAAUCUUGGCCACAGGGGUGACUCGGUCUGUGUCUGCAAAUGAAAGGUUUCAUCCUUGGCUGUGAAAUAAAAAUAGCAAAUAGCAUGUGGCAUGCAGGGGCUUUUCCUCUAUAAGGGGCUGUCACUGUCCACUGUUUAAAGCCUCUGCUUGAGCCAUCUUCGAGGAAGGAGGGCUGUGAAUGAGUGGGGGCAGAUUGCAGAGCCAGUUCGUAGACAGCAGAGAUGCUCCAGGGAAAACUUCCCUUCUCUUGCUAUUUACAUUUGCACAUACUUACCAGUUUGCCAGAAUUUCUUGGUGUCAACAACCUUGACUGAGACUGCGCCACGUGAAUGUAUCUCCUGGGGACUCAGAAGAUAGCUCAGGAGGGAAAGGCAAGGCCCCUGCACUGUGAUCUGACUGAGCUUAGGAGAACUGGGCUCCCCAAGUCUUUUUGCAAACUCAGUUUCUUCUCAGAGGAAAAUGGUAACAGUGAUAAUAAGAAAAAAAUAAAACCGUAUCUCUAAAGUGGACAAAGGCUCUAACAGUUCCCAUUACUCUUCUGGAGGGAAAACCAGUUCCAGUGGGCCUAGGGUUCCGCAGCUAUGUAGGGCUUCUUGACAACUGAAGACUUUAGACCAUUUGGUUUGUAUUCAGUAGGACCAGGUGGAAGAUAUGAGGACGGGAUGGUGAA